CCUCAUUCCAUUUGGAUAAGCGUUGCUAUCAUGAUUGGUUUAAUUCUAAUAAUAUUAUCGGUGGAUUUUGUAGCAUGUGGAACUAAGGAUAAUGCAACACUUUAUGGAAGUUCUGAAAAACUCACCGACUUAAGCAAACACAUUACUUCUGUGCCUAGUAAUAAGACAAUGAAGUUGACAACUAACAGAAAAGUUGUCCUAACUAUAAACCCUGACAAAGCACUCCGCUCCAUAAAUCCACAAAAAACUACCAGCCUGUUAUACCAAGAUUAUGACAAGGAUGGAAAAUUGCUCAAUAGUGUAUAUAUGUACAAUC